ACGCUGGCGGCGUGCCUAACACAUGCAAGUCGAGCGGGGAACUGUGGAAUGAAGCUUCGGCAGAAUGAAGCAGUUCUAGCGGCGGACGGGUGAGUAACGCGUGAGUAACCUGCCUAUCACUGGGGAAUAACGCAUCGAAAGGUGUGCUAAUACCGCAUAAGACCACAGAGCCGCAUGGUUCAGGGGUCAAAGGAGCAAUCCGGUAUGAGGUGGACUCGCGUCUGAUUAGAUAGUUGGUGAGGUAAACGGGCUCACCAAGUCGACGAUCGGUAGCCGACCUGAGAGGGUGAUCGGCCACAUUGGAACUGAGACACGGUCCAAACUCCUACGGGAGGCAGCAGUGGGGAAUAUUGCACAAUGGGCGAGAGCCUGAUGCAGCAACGCCGCGUGAGUGAAGAAGGUCUUCGGAUUGUAAAACUCUGUCCUUGGGGAAGAAGAACUGACGGUACCCUUGGAGGAAGCCCCGGCUAACUACGUG
rnacentral:rRNA from 1 species